rnacentral:lncRNA from 1 species
UUGCUUACUGUGUAAGCUACACAUAACCCUCCUAACUAACUUUUAACAGAAAUAUUGAUGACAUGGCAGAUUAUGUGGCAUUCACUUGAGUCAAUAUCAGUCAACAAACGGUGAUCAGCAUUGACCUCAUCACUAGAGCUGGGAUAGAAGAGAAGUAGAGGGCACAAAAUUCAGGUUGAAACUGAUCGAACUUGUUAAGUGGGGAGGAGUUGGAGAGGAUGGUUUAAUUGUUUCCUUUUGAAUGGUUUCAACCUUCAUCUCUGAAGCCAUCUUUUAAACGACUUCCCACGUGUUAUAUUCAAGUUUCUUUAACUGUCAUGUCAACAAACAUAUUGACAGCUCUUGUUACAGCAAAUUAAGUAGACCAUAUGCCGCCGGCGGAAAGAGCAUCAAGGAAUAUAUGAUUAGAUUUCACUUGACUCUUGUUUGUAUUUCAACUUAUACUGAAAUUAUUUGAUACGUUGUUUGGAAUACUAUGCCACCUCCUAGAUUACAAAAUUUUC